CCGACUCUUGACAUAGCUAGGGGGCUAUGGAAAGCGUCUAUUCCUCUGAAGAUCAAAGUUUUUCUUUGGCAAUUAUUCUAUGACCGCCUUCCCUCUUCUAACAACAUUGCCAUUAGACACGGCCCUUCGGAUGGGUCUUGCAUGUUAUGUGGAGCGCAUGAAUAUGCUAACCACAUCUUUUUCAAAUGCCACCUAGCUCGUUUUGCUUGGAGUGCCGUCCGUGAGGCGUUUGCGCAGAACUGGAAUCCCCAUACAGCUUCGGACCUAUGUGGGAUCCUUCUCGCUCAUAGGGGUAGCUUCGGGCGCGUGCUGUGGCGUUACAUAGGGGCGCUGUGCUAG
rnacentral:rRNA from 1 species